AAGUCGUAACAAGGUUUCCGUAGGUGAACCUGCGGAAGGAUCAUUAUAGAUUGGCCGAAAGGCCGUGUCUUCAUCCACACACACCGUGAACAAACCAAGGUCUGGCAGUACGUGAACGCGAGUUUGCAUGCCAGGCCCCAACACAAACAAAAUGUAAAGAAUGUAAACUAUCGUAACAAAAACAAAACUUUCAACAACGGAUCUCUUGGCUCUC
rnacentral:misc_RNA from 1 species